CCCUUAGAUGUUCUGGGCCGCACGCGCGCUACACUGACGGAGCCAGCGAGUCUUUUCCUUGUCCGGAAGGACUGGGUAAUCUUGUGAAACUUCGUCGUGCUGGGGAUAGAGCAUUGCAAUUAUUGCUCUUCAACGAGGAAUUCCUAGUAAGCGUGAGUCAUCAGCUCGCGUUGAUUACGUCCCUGCCCUUUGUACACACCGCCCGUCGCUACUACCGAUUGAAUGGCUUAGUGAGCCUUUGGGAUUGGCAGCUUGUACCGGCAACGGUAGCAGGCAGCCGAAAACUUAGGCAAACUUGGUCAUUGAGAGGAAGUAAAAGGCGUAACA
rnacentral:rRNA from 1 species